rnacentral:rRNA from 1 species
UUAAGCAUAUCAAUAAGCGGAGGAAAAAGAACCCAAACAGGGAUUGCCCCAGUAACGGCGAGUGAAGCGGCAACAGCUCAAAUUUGAAAUCUGGCCCCCAGGGCCCGAGUUGUAAUUUGCAGAGGAUGCUUUUGGCGCGGUGCCUUCCGAGUUCCCUGGAACGGGACGCCAUAGAGGGUGAGAGCCCCGUCUGGUCGGACGCCUAGCCUGUGUAAAGCUCCUUCGACGAGUCGAGUAGUUUGGGAAUGCUGCUCUAAAUGGGAGGUAUAUGUCUUCUAAAGCUAAAUACCGGCCAGAGACCGAUAGCGCACAAGUAGAGUGAUCGAAAGAUGAAAAGCACUUUGAAAAGAGGGUUAAAUAGUACGUGAAAUUGUUGAAAGGGAAGCGCUUGUGACCAGACUUGGGCCCGGUGGAUCAUCCAGCGUUCUCGCUGGUGCACUCCGCCGGGUUCAGGCCAGCAUCAGUUCGCCGCGGGGGAAAAAGGCUUCGGGAACGUGGCUCCUACGGGAGUGUUAUAGCCCGUUGCAUAAUACCCUGGGGCGGACUGAGGUUCGCGCUCCGCAAGGAUGCUGGCGUAAUGGUCAUCAGCGACCCGUCUUGAAACACGGACCAAGGAGUCGUCUUCGUAUGCGAGUGUUCGGGUGUAAAACCCCUACGCGUAAUGAAAGUGAACGCAGGUGAGAGCUUCGGCGCAUCAUCGACCGAUCCUGAUGUUCUCGGAUGGAUUUGAGUAAGAGCAUACGGGGCCGGACCCGAAAGAAGGUGAACUAUGCCUGUAUAGGGUGAAGCCAGAGGAAACUCUGGUGGAGGCUCGCAGCGGUUCUGACGUGCAAAUCGAUCGUCAAAUAUGGGCAUGGGGGCGAAAGACUAAUCGAACCUUCUAGUAGCUGGUUUCCGCCGAAGU